rnacentral:rRNA from 1 species
ACGGCUCAGUAACACGUGGACAACCUGCCCUUAGGUUGGGUAUAAACCCGGGAAACUGGGUAUAAUACCCGAUAGGUCUCGAUUGCUGGAAUGCAUCGAGAUUUAAAGCUCCGGCGCCUAAGGAUGGGUCUGCGGCCUAUCAGGUAGUAGUGGGUGUAGCGUACCUACUAGCCUACGACGGGUACGGGUUGUGAGAGCAAGAGCCCGGAGAUGGAUUCUGAGACACGAAUCCAGGCCCUACGGGGUGCAGCAGGCGCGAAAACCUUACAAUGCUGGCAACAGCGAUAAGGGAACCUCGAGUGCCAGGUUACAAAUCUGGCUGUCGAGAUGCCUAAAAAGCAUUUCAUAGCAAGGGCCGGGCAAGACCGGUGCCAGCCGCCGCGGUAACACCGGCGGCUCGAGUGGUAACCGUUAUUAUUGGGUCUAAAGGGUCUGUAGCCGGCCGGAUAAGUCUCUUGAGAAAUCUGGCAGCUUAACUGUCAGGCUUUCAGGAGAUACUGUCUGGCUCGAGGCCGGGAGAGGUGAGAGGUACUUCAGGGGUAGGGGUGAAAUCUUGUAAUCCUUGAAGGACCACCAGUGGCGAAGGCGUCUCACCAGAACGGACCUGACGGCAAGGGACGAAAGCUAGGGGCACGAACCGGAUUAGAUACCCGGGUAGUCCUAGCCGUAAACGAUACUCGCUAGGUGUCGGCCACGGUGCGACCGUUGUCGGUGCCGUAGGGAAGCCGUGAAGCGAGCCACCUGGGAAGUACGGCCGCAAGGCUGAAACUUAAAGGAAUUGGCGGGGGAGCAC